GAUGAACGCUGGCGGCGUGCCUAAUACAUGCAAGUCGAGCGAACGGACGAGAAGCUUGCUUCUCUGAUGUUAGCGGCGGACGGGUGAGUAACACGUGGAUAACCUACCUAUAAGACUGGGAUAACUUCGGGAAACCGGAGCUAAUACCGGAUAAUAUUUUGAACCGCAUGGUUCAAAAGUGAAAGACGGUCUUGCUGUCACUUAUAGAUUGAUCCGCGCUGCAUUAGCUAGUUGGCAAGGUAACGGCUUACCAAGGCAACGAUGCAUAGCCGACCUGAGAGGGUGGUCGGCCACCCUGGAACUGAGACACGGUCCAGACUCCUACGGGAGGCAGCAGUAGGGAAUCUUCCGCAAUGGGCGAAAGCCUGACGGAGCAACGCCGCGUGAGUGAUGAAGGUCUUCGGAUCGUAAAACUCUGUUAUUAGGGAAGAACAUAUGUGUAAGUAACUGUGCACAUCUUGACGGUACCUAAUCAGAAAGCCACGGCUAACUACGUG
rnacentral:rRNA from 1 species